GUGCCCGCUUAGGUAGCACAUAUACUAAAAUUAGAACUAUACCGAGAUUAGCAUGGCUCUUUGCAAGGAUAACACACAGAUUUGUGAAGCGUUCCAUAUUUUU